CCAUCAGUCUCGGUGCCAGCCGCCGCGGUAAUACGGAAGGGUGCAAGCGUUACUCGGAAUUACUGGGCGUAAAGCGUGCGUAGGUGGUUGUUUAAGUCUGUUGUGAAAAGCCCUGGGCUCAACCUGGGAAUUGCAGUGGAUACUGGGCGACUAGAGUGUGGUAGAGGGUAGUGGAAUUCCCCGGUGUAGCAGUGAAAUGCGUAGAGAUCGGGAGGAACAUCCAUGGCGAAGGCAGCUACCUGGACCAACACUGACACUGAGGCACGAAAGCGUGGGGAGCAAACAGGAUUAGAUACCCUGGUAGUCCACGCCCUAAACGAUGCGAACUGGAUGUUGGGUGCAAUUUGGCACGCAGUAUCGAAGCUAACGCGUUAAGUUCGCCGCCGUGGGGAGUACGGUCGCAAGACUG
rnacentral:rRNA from 1 species